UUGGGUGUGUGUGUCUGUGUGUGUGUGUGUGUGUGUGUGUGUGUGCGUUUGGGGGGUGCUGGGAAAUGAAUGAGUGCAUGUGCGAAUGCGUGUGCUUGUUUAUUUAUGUAGACACACAGAAGGAACAAGAGCACGGGAGGGUGAGAGAGAGAGAGAAAGAGAUUUGUCAGGCACUUGUAUUUGAAAACUGCUGGCUGACGUCCCACAGGAGGCAUGGAGAUCAGACUGAAAGGCUGUGUGUUUAGAGUGUGUAUCCACAAGUAUGUGUGCACGUCUGGGGGGGAGAGAGAGAAACAGAGAGAGAGAGAGAGAGAGAGAGAGAGAGAGAGGAACCCGUUCAACCCAUUUCAGCAGCAACUUUUUUGCUCGUCUACAUGAGGUCUCUGCCUGAAUAUGGAAGCUUUUCGCUCUCGUGUUUUCUGCCAUCCGGUCACCACAGUUUCCUGCUGCUCAACUUUUGGCUACGUUUUAGGCUGGAGGUGCUCGUCGGCCCAAGUGUUCCGAGUGCUUUUGCAGGAGCAGAGAGAAGAAACUGCUCAGUGAGGUGGAUUAUUCUGGGUAACAAGGACGCCGCUGAUGAAUUGGUCUUUUUACCUCCAAUGUGUUAACAGUAGAAGGAGAAUUUUUAAAAAACAAAAUAUGAACUGCACAAACCAGACGGCGCAGAAGAAAAUACAGCAUUUUGUACAUUUGAAUAAACAAAGCUGGAAGCUUUUUGUGGAGCACA